UAUGUAUUUAUGUGAUUAUCAUAUGAAUUCACAGAAGACAUAAAUAUAAAUUAUCUUAUGAUUAAAUAAAUUAAGUUCACAGUUGAUAAAUAGAGUUGAGUGCUCUAUUUAUGCUUAGACUUUAAUAAAUUCAUUGAAUGAUUUGUCUUAAUUAUGUAUGAAUUUAUUGAUGUAGUACGACUACAUUGAACAAGAUCACAUAUGAGAUUUAAUUAACUUUGUAAUAACUGUCAGACUUAUUAAAUCUCAUAGGUAUUGAUUUUACUGUAAUUUUAAUCUUGAGUUCGUUAUGAUUUCAUAAUUGUAAUUGUUAUUCCAUUUGAGUUACUAAUGAGCACGACACAUAUUUGUAGUCAAGAUUACCCGGUAUCUUGGUGGGAGCAAUUAUGAGUAUUGGAGUUAUAGAUUAACAAUAUAAAAUUUGUACAACACAUUUCUUGAUGGGUUUUCGGUACUUGAUCAUAGAAUUCUCUUGCCAGAGUGUGUUAACAUAUUUAGUAUGUUGAAAAUGAUCAUUAGAGAAAACCAGUAAGUAUCAAGGAAAAAGAUGUAAUUAAAUUGAUUGGACAUUUGAGAUAUUGAUUUAAUUAACAAUGUGGUACAAAUGAUUGUGCAGUAAAGAAAUCAAUGUGACAUGGGUCGAAUUAUUAUUCGAGUACACUAUCCUAGAUAGCAUACAAUUACGGACGUUAAUUCCAAUCUUUUAGUGGAGUAGAUUUGGAAUUAAAUAAUUAGGCUAGUUUAAUUACAAGCCUAAUUAUUGUAGCCAUUAUUGUAUGUACCCAAAUGAUCCCUGGGUUAGCUCAUUUAAUUGACUGCACCACUACUGGAUUAAUAAGCAAAAUAACUAUCUAUUUAGGUCAAAAGUCUAAAUAUACCAUUUAGUGGGAGGCUCCAUUUAAUAUGCUUGUGUGUAAGGGGCCUUAUGUUAUUUUAUAAGGUGGACCCCCUAUAGUAAAAGCAAGUAACCGUGACUUUUGAUUUGAUUAUUUGGAGUCUAAGGUUUCACUAAAUGGAGAUAAAAGACUUAUUUUCUCUAAAGGAAAUAGACAGAGCCGCAAUAUACAGACCAAAGAAAAAGAAUUUUUCUCUCUAAAAUUGAGAGGAAAAUUUUUCUCUUGCUAGUUGUUUUAGUGGCGAUAAAGGAGCCCACACGUCAAGUGCAGAUCAAACCUGAGUUAUAACCUGGAAGAUCAUUGGUGACAGAUCGUGAUCUAACAAGCGUGAUGGUGACGAAUCAUGAUCUAACAGGCGUGGUGGUGACGAAUCAUGAUCUAACAGGCGUGGUGAUGACGGAUCGUGAUCUAACAAAAGUGGUGGUGACAGAUCGUGAUCUGGGAGCCUGAAUUAUUUUCAAUUGUUCAUAUCUUCUCGGAUUGUCAAUGUAUGAUUUUCUAGAUUACGAAUUCCUAUAUAUUAUAUGAGAUCGAA
rnacentral:lncRNA from 1 species